rnacentral:rRNA from 1 species
GUUAAUCGACGCAGGGUUAGUCGGUCCCUAAGGCGAGGCUGAAAAGCGUAGUCGAUGGAAAACAGGUUAAUAUUCCUGUACUUCUGGUUAUUGCGAUGGAGGGACGGAGAAGGCUAGGCCAGCUUGGCGUUGGUUGUCCAAGUUUAAGGUGGUAGGCUGGAAUCUUAGGUAAAUCCGGGAUUCUAAGGCCGAGAGCUGAUGACGAGUGUUCUUUUAGAACACGAAGUGGUUGAUGCCAUGCUUCCAAGAAAAGCUUCUAAGCUUCAGGUAACCAGGAACCGUACCCCAAACCGACACAGGUGGUUGGGUAGAGAAUACCAAGGCGCUUGAGAGAACUCGGGUGAAGGAACUAGGCAAAAUGGCACCGUAACUUCGGGAGAAGGUGCGCCGGUGAGGGUGAAGCAUUUACUGCGUAAGCCCAUGCCGGUCGAAGAUACCAGGCCGCUGCGACUGUUUAUUAAAAACACAGCACUCUGCAAACACGAAAGUGGACGUAUAGGGUGUGACGCCUCCCCGGUGCCGGAAGGUUAAUUGAUGGGGUUAGCUAACGCGAAGCUCUUGAUCGAAGCCCCGGUAAACGGCGGCCGUAACUAUAACGGUCCUAAGGUAGCGAAAUUCCUUGUCGGGUAAGUUCCGACCUGCACGAAUGGCGUAACGAUGGCGGCGCUGUCUCCACCCGAGACUCAGUGAAAUUGAAAUCGCUGUGAAGAUGCAGUGUAUCCGCGGCUAGACGGAAAGACCCCGUGAACCUUUACUAUAGCUUUGCACUGGACUUUGAAUUUGCUUGUGUAGGAUAGGUGGGAGGCUUUGAAGCGUGGACGCCAGUUCGCGUGGAGCCAACCUUGAAAUACCACCCUGGCAACUUUGAGGUUCUAACUCAGGUCGGUUAUCCGGAUCGAGGACAGUGUAUGGUGGGUAGUUUGACUGGGCCGGUCUCCUCCUAAAGAGUAACGGAGGAGUACGAAGGUGCGCUCAGACCGGUCGGAAAUCGGUCGUAGAGUAUAAAGGCAAAAGCGCGCUUGACUGCGAGACAGACACGUCGAGCAGGUACGAAAGUAGGUCUUAGUGAUCCGGUGGUUCUGUAUGGAAGGGCCAUCGCUCAACGGAUAAAAGGUACUCCGGGGAUAACAGGCUGAUACCGCCCAAGAGUUCAUAUCGACGGCGGUGUUUGGCACCUCGAUGUCGGCUCAUCACAUCCUGGGGCUGAAGCCGGUCCCAAGGGUAUGGCUGUUCGCCAUUUAAAGUGGUACGCGAGCUGGGUUUAGAACGUCGUGAGACAGUUCGGUCCCUAUCUGCCGUGGACGUUUGAGAUUUGAGAGGGGCUGCUCCUAGUACGAGAGGACCGGAGUGGACGAACCUCUGGUGUUCCGGUUGUCACGCCAGUGGCAUUGCCGGGUAGCUAUGUUCGGAAUAGAUAACCGCUGAAAGCAUCUAAGCGGGAAACUAGCCUCAAGAUGAGAUCUCACUGGGACCUUGAGUCCCCUGAAGGGCCGUCGAAGACUACGACGUUGAUAGGUUGGGUGUGUAAGCGCUGUGAGGCGUUGAGCUAACCAAUACUAAUUGCCCGUGAGGCUUGAUC